AAUAAUAGCUAUUCCUAUGCAUAAAUCACAUUGACACUUAGUAGUCUAUAUCACAGUAAGUCCUCUGGGCAAUCUUUGCAGAGGUGAAGUGCACAACCACUGAGGGACAUAAAAUUCUCAGAGUUUUAUGCUUAGACUUCCAUAUUCCAACCUUGAAACGAGUUCUUGCCUGAAUCCUGACAUCUAACUGGACCUUUCCUGAUGCUUUAUCGAGCCUCAGGUCUCUAGACAAGCCAUUAGACAAUGCAACAUCUCUAGCUUCAAUCUUUGCCUUCAGUUGAGUCACAUUUCCCAUAGGUUGAUGAAAUGGCUCCAGGGUGUUAAAGGCAAUGGUUUGAUCAUCAUAAGAUAAAGAAACAUCAAUAGAAUCGUAGUAUACAGAGAUUCUUCUAUUAGGGUUACGUACCCUAAUCCCAAAAUCAAAUGAGGCAUUGAGGUGGUUGUAGUUGAGUUUGAAGUUACUCACUGUACCAUUUUCAAUGGUGUAAACAAGCUGUUUAGGCUUGAUUACUAGCCAAGUGAUUAGCACAGCUAGACCCACGAGGACUAUCAGGGCUAGUAUCACGAUAGCAAUGACUCGAAGCAGAUUUGAGUGGGCUGGCCUGGCUUCAGCUGGUGGUUGGGUAGUAACACCAUUAGCCAUUGUGAAGGAAUUGAU
rnacentral:misc_RNA from 1 species